GAUGAACGCUAGCGGCAGGCCUAAUACAUGCAAGUCGAACGGUAACAUUGGUGCUUGCACCAGAUGACGAGUGGCGCACGGGUGCGUAACGCGUAUGCAACCUACCUUUUACUAGAGUAUAGCCCAGAGAAAUUUGGAUUAAUCCUCUAUAACAUCUUUUAAUUUCAUGAUUUUAAGAUUAAAGUUUUAACGGUAAAAGAUGGGCAUGCGUCCUAUUAGUUUGUAGGUGAGGUAACGGCUCACCUAGACUACGAUAGGUAGGGGCCCUGAGAGGGGGAUCCCCCACACUGGUACUGAGACACGGACCAGACUCCUACGGGAGGCAGCAGUAAGGAAUAUUGGACAAUGGACGAAAGUCUGAUCCAGCCAUGCCGCGUGCAGGAUGACAGCCCUACGGGUUGUAAACUGCUUUUAUACAGGAAGAAACACUCCGACGUGUCGGAGCUUGACGGUACUGUAAGAAUAAGGAUCGGCUAACUCCG
rnacentral:rRNA from 1 species